UCAAGUGUCACCACGUGUUUUGUAUAAUCUAUUCAAAUUGCGCUCAUCUCGAGUAACUAAUUAAAAGUAAUCAAUCAAUUACAUUCAGAGUUCAUUACUCUAUAUAAAAAUAUAAUUAUUUUUAUAAUCGCGAGCUCCAGAGCUCAUAAAAUAAUUAAUAAAUAACAUCAAGAAAUCCAGUGUUCUACAACCUGUUCCUGACGAGGUUAUUUUCGACGGAGAAAGCAACAGGUGCAUUUUUUAUUAAACAUUUACUUGCUAUCAGUGCUCAAUUAAUUUAAAAGACUCAGUUUUAUUAUUUAUUUAAUUAUCAUUAUGCUCAAUUUCUUAAUUAAUUUAAAAGUUAUGUUUCGCUCAGUAGCCUCUGCUAUCAUGCUACCACGUGUUCAACAAAUAAAUUAAAAUCAGUGUAAUUUAUCAUGAGCUCAUUAAAUUCAAUUCAAUUAAGUGAUCAUCACUAUUAAAACUCAAUAACAAAAUAUUUAUGUAUUCAGUGCUAUUAAAAAUAGUAAUUAAUGUGUUCACUUCGCUCAGUAACCUCUGACAUCAUGUUACUUAUUAUCAUGACAUUUUUGCAUUCAACUCAGUGUUCAAUUAAACUCAACUUGAUUAUUUUUAAUUCAUUAUUUACUCGAGCUCAACUCAAUAAUCUGUAUUCAAUUAUUCACGUAUUCAUGAGCUCAGACAAUUAACAGUAUUUAUAAAUUAAAUAAACUAUUUAAUUUGCAACCCAGUGAUAUUUUGUGCUGUGACAAAUAAAAAUAUUGUUAUAUUUUUAAACAUGCGUAUUUUUCAAACAUCCCAACCACCAACCAGUCCUGGCAUGUUUUUAUUUAAUUAAUAUUACAACAAUUUAUUAAUAAUUAAAUGAGUAAAAAAAAAGAAUCCGAGCAGUCUAACUGUACUUUUGGACGACGUUUUCGGAGCGGUACGGCCUACCUGCCUUUGUAUUCAUUAGCAGCUGCAACCUUUUUCAGGUAUACUGACAAAUAUAUAAUAUUAUAAUAUACUAUUGGAUGAAAAUGUGCACUAUGAAGAAGAUGAAGGCAUAAUGUAUGGUGCAGGCAUCGCUGAUUAGACAUCAUCCAUUCCAGAUAUUUCAUCAACAGCGCACACUCAUCUUUUUUUUUGGACCAGUCUUCUCCCUCAUUUUUAUGUAUAAAAACUGAUUAAAAUAAAUAUAAAAAAAAUU